rnacentral:sRNA from 1 species
CUAUGCCGAUCGGGUGUCCGCACUAAGUUCGGUAUCGAUAUGGUGCUCCUGGGGGAGCCCGGGACCACCAGGUCGUCUAAGGAGGGGUGCACCGGCCCAGGUCGGAAACGGAGCAGGCCAAAGCCCCCGUGCCGCUCAGUAGUGGGAUCGCGCCUGUGAAUAGACGCU